GUAGCAGAGCGAAACGCGGCUCAAGUGGUAGCAGAGCGAUCGAUUUUCACUUAGGACCUUUGGAACGCUAAUUGUUAGACCCCUAGGCUGUGCCUGGGCCGAUGGAUUGUAAAUAAACUGUCAUAGGCUCUGUGUAUGUUUACGUAUAUUGUAUUUAUAUUUUUCUUUUUGUGUUCCAUGCUUAGUCAAAAUGCCACGCGCGUGGAUCCAUGAAUUGUCCAAGCAGCAGCUGGAGAGUUUAGCAAGCCAUCUAGGUGUAUCCACGGAAGGAACGCUGGACGACUUGAGGAAGCGGGCUGUCUUGUGUUUCUCUCCCUCCCAAACCUAUAUCCUAGCUUGGAUGGAUGGAGACGCGACGCAGGACUUCAGGCCCCCCUUCUCG